GGAUAACACUUGGAAACAGGUGCUAAUACCGUAUAACACUAUUUUCCGCAUGGAAGAAAGUUGAAAGGCGCUUUUGCGUCACUGAUGGAUGGACCCGCGGUGCAUUAGCUAGUUGGUGAGGUAACGGCUCACCAAGGCCACGAUGCAUAGCCGACCUGAGAGGGUGAUCGGCCACACUGGGACUGAGACACGGCCCAGACUCCUACGGGAGGCAGCAGUAGGGAAUCUUCGGCAAUGGACGAAAGUCUGACCGAGCAACGCCGCGUGAGUGAAGAAGGUUUUCGGAUCGUAAAACUCUGUUGUUAGAGAAGAACAAGGAUGAGAGUAAAAUGUUCAUCCCUUGACGGUAUCUAACCAGAAAGCCACGGCUAACUACGUGCCAGCAGCCGCGGUAAUACGUAGGUGGCAAGCGUUGUCCGGAUUUAUUGGGCGUAAAGCGAGCGCGGGCGGUUUCUUAAGUCUGAUGUGAAAGCCCCCGGCUCAACCGGGGAGGGUCAUUGGAAACUGGGAGACUUGAGUGCAGAAGAGGAGAGUGGAAUUCCAUGUGUAGCGGUGAAAUGCGUAGAUAUAUGGAGGAACACCAGUGGCGAAGGCGGCUCUCUGGUCUGUAACUGACGCUGAGGCUCGAAAGCGUGGGGAGCGAACAGGAUUAGAUACCCUGGUAGUCCACGCCGUAAACGAUGAGUGCUAAGUGUUGGAGGGUUUCCGCCCUUCAGUGCUGCA
rnacentral:rRNA from 1 species